GCGCCCGUAGCUCAAUAGGUAGAGCCACCGGCUCAUAACCGGGAGGUUCCGGGUUCGAGUCCUGGCGGGCGCACCA
rnacentral:tRNA from 1 species